rnacentral:lncRNA from 1 species
AUGUAGAUGAUUGCUUUAACGGUGCUGAGGAACGGUCUCCCAAGGAUGAUGGGUGGAUCGUACUCGUCUUCUCCUAUGUCAAUAACCUGAAAGUCUAUAUGGACAAAAUGAUCGUCUAUUUUGAUAUGGACAUCUGUUACUAUACCUUCAACCUUUCGGAAUGUCUAAUCUGCCAUCUAGAGCUGAAUGUAUGUCGGUUUUAGGGGCAUGGUUCCGAACAAGAGCCGAUAGGUGACUGCGGCCAUUAUGUUGACGCCUGAUCCGGUGUCGCAAAGUGUCUUGUAGAAGUUGUAUCCAUUAAUGGAGCAAUAGAUGCUUGGCAUACCUGGGUCG